rnacentral:antisense_RNA from 1 species
CUCUAUUCCAGAAGCAGUGUGGAGCACAAAGAAUCCCUAAUCCCUGACAUUAAGAAAGAAGAAAAAUAUUCCUAGGACGAUCCUGGAGAGCAAAGGUCAUUAGCAGUCACUUGACUUUCCUUGGAUUUCUCAACUGCAGUAGUCACACGGUCUGCUGAAAAUGAAUUCUCUUUAUUUUCAUCUGAUUUCAAGGAAUUAUGGUUUUCAGUGAUUUCUUCAUUUGGAUCUAUUUUGAGACAGAGUAAUAGCAUUAAAACCCCCUUCUGAAUUAAUAAGAGAAAGAAGAGACACAGACAUGCAGAGAAAACACAGGGAAGAAGGCCACAUGGGAUGAAGGCAGAGAUGGGAAUGAUGCAGCUACAAGCCAAGGAAUGCCAUGGACUGCCAGCAACCACUAGAAAGAAGCUGGAAGAGGCAAGGAAGGAUUCUUCUGUGAUGCCUUCAGAGGAAAAUGGCCCUGCAAACACCCUGAUCUCGGACUUCUGACCUCCAGAAGUAAGAGAAUACAUUUCUGUUGUUUUAAGUUAACCAGUUUGUGGCAAUUUGUUAC